rnacentral:rRNA from 1 species
UACGGAAGGCAGCAGUGGGGAAUAUUGCACAAUGGGCGAAAGCCUGAUGCAGCUAUGCCGCGUGUAUGAAGAAGGCCUUAGGGUUGUAAAGUACUUUCAUCGGGGAGGAAAAAACAAAACUAAUAAUUUUAUUUCUUGACGUUACCCGAAAAAGAAGCACCGGCUAACUCCGUGCCAGCAGCCGCGGUAAUACGGAGGGUGCUAGCGUUAAUCAGAAUUACUGGGCGUAAAGAGCACGUAGGUGGUUUUUUUAAGUCAGAUGUGAAAUCCCUGGGCUUAACCUGGAACUGCAUUUUGAAACUGAAAUACUAGAGUAUCGUAGAGGGAGGUAGAAUUCUAGGUGUAGCGGUGAAAUGCGUAGAUAUCUGGAGGAAUACCUGUGGCGAAAGCGGCCUCCUAAACGAAUACUGACACUGAGGUGCGAAAGCGUGGGGAGCAAACGAGGAUUAGGACUACC